GUGGGAGCGAGCCUGCUCGCGAUCGCGGUGGGUCAGCAAAAUCAAUAUCGACUGACACUCCGCAAUCGCGAGCAGGCUCGCUCCCAC
rnacentral:misc_RNA from 1 species